rfam:Schistosoma haematobium scaffold7_6, whole genome shotgun sequence.
AUUCAGCUGAUGAGUUUUAUGUAGGAUGAAACGCGCGUCCUGAAU